GCGGGGGUGCCCGAGCCAGGACAAAGGGGCGGGACUCAGGCUCCCGUGGCGCAGGCCUGCGUGGGUUCAAAUCCCACCCCCCGCA
rnacentral:tRNA from 1 species